rfam:Octopus bimaculoides Scaffold20406_contig_208, whole genome shotgun sequence.
AUACAUCCUCGGCCUUUUAGCUGAGAUCAAAGUGUAGUAUCUGCUCUUGUCAGCUUAAUAACUGAUACGGUUCCUACUUGGGACCAUCAAUAUUAAACUGAUUUUUAGAAGGAGGCAUAGUCAGGGACUCGCUCCACCUUUGCCACGGGUUGGUCCGGUAUUAUAGUACUUCCAGAAUUCAGCCCAUCUUCA